UAUUAAAAAUUUCAUCCAAUUUUUGUACUGUUAAAAAUUAAUGUGAUUGAUGAAAUAACCGAAUAGUGCCACGUGUACCUCAUGCUGAUGUAUAAGGACCAAUUUUUAACGGCAGAAAUGGAUGGAGUUUUUAACA
rfam:Gossypium arboreum cultivar AKA8401 contig_83488_1, whole genome shotgun sequence.